rnacentral:rRNA from 1 species
UACGUAGGGUGCUAGCGUUAUCCGGAUUUACUGGGCGUAAAGGGUGCGUAGGUGGUCUUUCAAGUCGGUGGUUAAAGGCUACGGCUCAACCGUAUUAAGCCGUCGAAACUGGUAGACUUGAGUGCAGGAGAGGAAAGUGGAAUUCCUAGUGUAGCGGUGAAAUGCGCAGAUAUUAGGAGGAAUACCGGUGGCGAAGGCGACCCCCUGGACAUAGUCUGACGCUGAGGUGCGAAAGCGUGGGGAGCAAACAGG